rnacentral:rRNA from 1 species
CCUACGGGCGGCUGCAGUGAGGAAUAUUGCUCAAUGGAGGAAACUCUGAUGCAGCAAAGCAGCGUGAGGGAGGAAGUCUUUAUGUAUGUUAAGCUCUAUUUGCAGGGGAUUGAAACGAAGGUCGCUGAAAAAGAAGCCCCGGCUAACUACGUGCGAGCAGCCGCGGUCAUACGUAGGGGGCAAGCGGUAUCCGGAUUUACUGGGUGUAAAGGGAGCGUAGAGGGAAAGGUAAGUCAGAAGUGAAAGCCUAAGGCUCAACCAUGGGAUUGCUGUUGAAACUGGCAAACUAGAGUACGGGAGAGGUAAGAGGAAUUCGUAGUGUAGCGGUGAAAUGCGUAGAUAUUAGGAGGAACACCAGUGGCGAAGGCAGCUUACUGGACCGAAACUGACAUUGAGGCUCGAAAGCGUGGGUAUCAAACAGGAUUAGAUACCCCUGUAGUC